rfam:Culex pipiens quinquefasciatus supercont3.43 genomic scaffold, whole genome shotgun sequence.
GCCUCAGUGGUACAAUUGGCAGUGCGUCUCAGUACUAAUGAGGAGGUUGCGGGUUCAAGUCCCGCCUGGAGCC